CCAGAGGGUCGGGCGACCGCGUCGCGCAAGCGUCGAGGAAAGUCCGGGCUCCACGGAAAGCACGGUGCCGGGUAACGCCCGGCGGGGGCGACCCCAGGGAAAGUGCCACAGAAAGGACACCGCCGUCGCUUCGGCACGGUAAGGGCGAAAGGGUGCGGCAAGAGCGCACCGCGGGCCCGGCAACGGGACCGGCACGGCAAACCCCACCGGGAGCAAGACCGAAUAGGGACCGCAUAUGGGGCCGCUUCCGCCCCGUGGUCCGGGUUGGUUGCUGGAGGCCGGGAGCGAUCCCGGCCCGAGAGGAAUGGUCGCCCAUCCGCGAAAGCGGUGGACAGAACCCGGCUUAUAGACCCUCUGGCACG
rnacentral:RNase_P_RNA from 1 species